AAACUUUCAACAAUGGAUCUCUUGGUUCCGGCAUCGAUGAAGAACGCAGCGAACUGCGAUAAGUAAUGCGAAUUGCAGAAUUCAGUGAAUCAUCGAGUCUUUGAACGCACAUUGCGCCCCCUGGUAUUCCGGGGGGCAUGCCUGUCCGAGCGUCAUU
rnacentral:rRNA from 1 species